rnacentral:rRNA from 1 species
GAUGAACGCUGGCGGCGUGCCUAAUACAUGCAAGUCGAGCGAACGGACGAGAAGCUUGCUUCUCUGAUGUUAGCGGCGGACGGGUGAGUAACACGUGGAUAACCUACCUAUAAGACUGGGAUAACUUCGGGAAACCGUAGCUAAUACCGGAUAAUAUUUUGAACCGCAUGGUUCAAAAGUGAAAGACGGUCUUGCUGUCACUUAUAGAUGGAUCCGCGCUGCAUUAGCUAGUUGGUAAGGUAACGGCUUACCAAGGCAACGAUGCAUAGCCGACCUGAGAGGGUGAUCGGCCACACUGGAACUGAGACACGGUCCAGACUCCUACGGGAGGCAGCAGUAGGGAAUCUUCCGCAAUGGGCGAAAGCCUGACGGAGCAGCGCCGCGUGAGUGAUGAAGGUCUUCGGAUCGUAAACUCUGUUAUUAGGGAAGAACAUAUGUGUAAGUAACUGUGCACAUCUUGACGGUACCUAAUCAGAAAGCCACGGCUAACUACGUG